rnacentral:rRNA from 1 species
AUUGAACGCUGGCGGCAGGCUUAACACAUGCAAGUCGAGCGGGGGAAGGUAGCUUGCUACCGGACCUAGCGGCGGACGGGUGAGUAAUGCUUAGGAAUCUGCCUAUUAGUGGGGGACAACAUCUCGAAAGGGAUGCUAAUACCGCAUACGUCCUACGGGAGAAAGCAGGGGAUCUUCGGACCUUGCGCUAAUAGAUGAGCCUAAGUCGGAUGAGCUAGUUGGUGGGGUAAAGGCCUACCAAGGCGACGAUCUGUAGCGGGUCUGAGAGGAUGAUCCGCCACACUGGGACGGAGACACGGCCCAGACUCCUGCGGGAGGCAGCAGUGGGGAAUAUUGGACAAUGGGGGGAACCCUGAUCCAGCCAUGCCGCGUGUGUGAAGAAGGCCUUAUGGUUGUAAAGCACUUUAAGCGAGGAGGAGGCUACUCUAGUUAAUACCUAGGGAUAGUGGACGUUACUCGCAGAAUAAGCACCGGCUAACUCUGUGCCAGCCGCCGCAGUAA